rnacentral:rRNA from 1 species
UAGGGAAUCUUCCGCAAUGGGCGAAAGCUUGACGGAGCAACGCCGCGUGAGUGAUGAAGGUCUUCGGAUCGUAAAACUCUGUUAUUAGGGAAGAACAAAUGUGUAAGUAACUAUGCACGUCUUGACGGUACCUAAUCAGAAAGCCACGGCUAACUACGUGCCAGCAGCCGCGGUAAUACGUAGGUGGCAAGCGUUAUCCGGAAUUAUUGGGCGUAAAGCGCGCGUAGGCGGUUUUUUAAGUCUGAUGUGAAAGCCCACGGCUCAACCGUGGAGGGUCAUUGGAAACUGGAAAACUUGAGUGCAGAAGAGGAAAGUGAAAUUCCAUGUGUAGCAGUGAAAUGCGCAGAGAUAUGGAGGAACACCAGUGGCGAAGGCGACUUUCUGGUCUGUAACUGACGCUGAUGUGCGAAAGCGUGGGGAUCAAACAGG